rnacentral:lncRNA from 1 species
ACCAUGCUCCAUCAUAAGUGCCUAGAUAUAGUUCUCAGUGCUACACAGCAGGAUCUCAUUGCUUAUCCAUAGAAUUCUGAAUUAUGCUAAAAAGUUUAUGAAGCUGAAUUUUGGCCACAAGUUCAAGCUAUAUUAUUCAAUCUAGACAUACCUUAAUUCCUACCUGUCUCCUAUUCAUAUGUUCUGUUGCCUCAGCACUCAGAGGAAAUAUGAUUAUUUAACCUGAAUCAGAAUAACCAAAAUAUGGAGAAAGAAAAUUUACAAAUAUGGAUAAAGCAGGAAAUUAAAGGACCAAAUAACUAUAUAAAAGAAAAAAAAAAACAUCUUUUGUAACAUAAUGAUAGGUUUCUGCAGGCCUGAGAUGAAUCUGGUUUUAGAUGUACACUUUGGAAAGAGGACUACUAGCUGCUGGAAAAUCAAGCAUGGAUAUGUCUAUCUAUACUCCUGACACAAUCCAGCAUUUACUCACACUGAAGAUGAGGCUGAGACAGGUAGUCAUUUAAUUUCAAUUAAGGCUUGCAUGGAAAUUGGAAAAGCUAUGUAUACAGGUUUUCAAAGUAUUACUGAAAGAAAUUACUGUAUUCUGUUUUCAACAAGGGCUAUAGUCCCAAAGCUUAAGUUUACAAUGGGCAUAUUGCAUAUUCCUUGGCAGCAAACCACAGAGCUCUAUCACACGAUCCUCUGUAUUAAAUACCAACCAUCACCAUGUAACAAACUACCUAAAAGUCAAUUGUUUAAACAGUAACUAUUAGGUUUAAUAGGAAUCCACAGACUUGUGAGAGGGGAGCUGGGAGUCCACCCUGGUUUUAUUCAUAUAUCUGUAUCAGGUAUAUAUAGGGCAAACUUUCUGUUAAUUUUGAUUGGGUUCUCACAGGCUUGGGGAUAGCCUGACUGUUGGCUGGUCUGUAAUGGCCUCAUCUCUCUUAGAUAUGUCUUUUACCUCUCAAGUAGGUGGGGUACUAGUAGGUGUUCUAACUCUAACAUGAGUUAGAAGCAGGGUUCCAAGUAAACAAGAUGUUUCCCUUUCUCCCUUUCUUCUUUCCUUUCUUUUCCUUUCCUUUCCUCCUUCCCUCCCCUACUUCCUCCUUUCCUUCCUUUCUUUGCUGCACCCACAGCACAUGGAAGUUCCCAGGCUUGGGGGCAAAUCAGAGCUGCAGUUGCCAGUUUACACCACAGUCACAGGAAUUCAGGAACUGAGCCACAUCUACAAACUACACGGCAGCUUACAGCCAUGCCAGAUCCUUAACCCACUAAGUGAGGCCAGGGAUCAAACCUGCAUCCUCAUUCAUGGACACUAUGUUAGGUUCUUAACCCGCUGAGCCAAAACAGGAACUCCAAGAAGUUGCUUUCUUAAGGCCAUGACUCAGAACUCUACUCCAUUAUUUCUAAAGGAUUCUAUUAGCCAGAAUAAUUUCUAAAGUAAGCCCAAGUUCAAAGAGAGGGCAAACAAAAUCUACCACUCUAGUGAGAAAAACUGCAAAAUCAAAUAGUAUGUGGAUAUACUGAGGGGUAAAGAAAUUUGGUGAUUUGCAAUCUAUCACCAUUUUUAAACUUUAAUGCAUUGAAACAUGGCCUCAAUUGUUCCUUUGUAGAUGUAGUGAAUUUCACAUAAGAACAAAUAAGAAACUGAAGAUUCUAAUUCUUAGAUUCAUGUGGUUUGUUACCAAUUUCUAAACAAUAAUUUCAAUUUGGUUCAUCCUGGUUAAUUAAUUAAAACCUGACAAAAUCUUUUGAUUUUAGAGAAUUGUGCACCACAGCCAUCUUUGUGUCAGCCAACUGAAAAGCACAGACUCUUUUAUUUUUUGGCCUUUUAUAAUUUUACAUAUAUUUUUUUCGACUGUACAGCAUGGUGACCCAGUUACACAUACAUGUAUACAUUCUUUUAUCUCACAUUAAGUGUUCCAUCAUAAGUGACUAGACAGAGUUCCCAGUGCUACACAGCAGGAUCCCAUUGCUAAUCCAUCUCGAAAGCUACAUUAUUCAUUUACCCCAAGCUCCCAGUCCCUCCCACUCCCUCCCCUUCCCGGUUUUUUGAAUGAGAUAUUCUUCUUAGGUUGAGAUAGAAAAAAUAAAAUAAAAUCAUUAUUAAUGGUUAUACAUUUUAAUUCUCUGACUAUAGAAUACAGAUUUGCUCAGAAUAUCAAUAAGAAACAUAAUAAUUUUAAAAUCAAAUUGAACCUUACUUUCAGAACAAGAACAGUGGGAUAGUGAAAAUCAAUAAAAGGAAAUAAAGUCAGACCUGUGUAUAUUAUGUUAUUAAUAGAUGAUGGAGGGUGUGGGGCCCCAAAGUGACUUAGGGAAGAAAGGGAAACAAGACUAUAGAAAAAAAUAAAUAAAAUUAUGCUCAUAGGGACCAUCCAGAUCCAAAAAACUAUUGAAAAACACUCAAAACUACAGAUAGAGAGUCUAUAAUAAGUGCAAUUGGGAACACUCCUCUUGAAAACAGAGACAGUAAAGUGGUUGAAGAAAAUUGAGAAAGAUUUCAGAAUGGAGGACUAAGAUCAAGCAAUAUUUGAUAGUUUCAGGGUAAUAUUAUUGUUAUUUUUGUUUGUGAUAGUUUUAUUUUGCUUUUAUCUGAGAAAGCAUAUCUAUAUAUUUCUUGGGGGAAUAUGGUCAGAAAUCUUAAAAAGUUAGCUCUCUAAGACACAUUGAAGAUAAACCAUCUUUAAAAGGCCCAUAGUAGACAGAAAUAGAUAAUAUCCUGCUCUAAGUUAUAUUCUGUGUGGAAUGAUCCAAUAUGAUGACCACAGCAUUGAUAAGAUUUAUGUCUUAAUGUCUUCACAUCUCAUCAUGGAAUAUACUUCAGGGGAGAGUGCAGAGAAAUAUAGUAGGAGAGCAAAUGAUGAGGGGGUCCAAGACCAAAAAGAUAAAAAAGGAAAGCAGACAUUAUAUCCUAGAUUUAUACAUGUCAGAGAAAGAAAACAAUAAACAAUCUAAGAAACACAUGAAAGACUUAAAACCCAAACUGACAUGUUAUAAAUGAUUAAGAGAACACUUAAGAAAUAGAAUACUCAGGGCAUGUUCCAUUGCUACAUAGAAAGAGGUGGUAAGCAAUUGAUGGUAGUGAUUCAACCACUACAUGAAAUAAUAUCAGUUACAUACACAUUACUUGGAAAUUCAAAAUUAUGAAGAAAAGUAAGAUAUUUAUUUAUGAUGCUUUAAAUGUUCUAUUAAUUGGGAUUCCAAAGACAGUGAUUUAGAUAAAAAGAUAGAACUAUAAUUUCUGACAGAGACAAACAACAGACAAAAGGAGAAAUUGUAUCCAGGAAGUAAAUUUAAUCACUCUAAAAAUUCCUAGCUCUGAUGCAAUAUCACAGUCAUUGUUGAUGACUAAAAAUGAUUUUGGAACUGUUAAAAAAAAAUCUCUCAAACACUGGGGAUGGACCUCCAGUAAAUUGGUCAUUCUAGUAAUCCCAUUACUAUUGAAAAUUUUAACUUCUUCACUUCUAGAAGGAAGGUAUUGACUGACUUAAGGUCUGGCAAAAUCUUCAACCCAGCUUGUUCUUAGUUCUUUAUCUCCCAAUUGUCCAUCAAAUAUCACCUAUGUUUCCUCUUUGCCUGUAAUUUUUGUGAAGAAAUGGUGACAUUCAUGAUAUGGGGCAGACUGUGUCUUCAAUAUUUGUGAAGUUAAAAACUCUGAGGCAAAAGAGGGAUUUUCAGUACAGCAUGGUUAUCUCCAGGAUGGAAAACUUCAGAUUCUGCCAAAAGUAUACAUUGUUAGAGUUCGAGAGACAAAGAAAAUGCAAGGCUAUGAACCCAGGUUUGUAAACUUGGUGGGCUCUUAAAAAUAUGGGCACUUCUUUCACAAAAGGGUGAGGAAGCCCAUGCUCUGGGUGUCAGGACUCCAAAGUUCCAAGAAAAUAAUAAAAAUCAAAAAGAAUAUUAAGUAUAAGGGCAAAAUGAGAAUACAAAGCAAUUCUAGGUGCUGCAGGUGCCAUUGAUGCAUAUUGCAAAAUUUGGAAAGAAAACAGGAGUAUUCAAAUCCCACACUUUAAAAAGGAGGCCAUAAGACUAUCUUAGAGUCCUCCCAAAUUAUGAUAUAUAACUAUAGAAUCAUAAGAAUCUUUUGAAUGGGAGAUUUCAUCCAAUUAUUAUUAAAUUAUGAUUCCAUAAAUAGAGUCAAGAAAAAUGACACAGAUUGAAAGACUUUUUGACAAGAAUAAAAUCUCAAUCUCUCUUUUUCCUUCCCUCUUUUCUUUUUACCCUAUGUCCUCCCUCUCUCCCUACUUCUUUCCUCUGGAUAGCUAAAGCUCUGUUAUAAUUUUUGACAGGCCCAAGUAAUAUGGCUCUAAAAUGUACUUUCAUAUAUUUCAGUGGUAUUAUGACUUGAUAAGCUAUCCUUUUGAUUUUCAAAUUAUCAUACAGGUAUAUAAUUAGUGUUUUGACACUUUGUUUUGUCUUUUUGACUUAAUCUUUGGAAAUUUGAGUCCCAGGAGAAACUUGAGUGUGGGUUGAUUUAACUUUAUAAAUACAAACUAACUGCAUCCAUUCAAAUGGAAGGAAUGUAGCCUCAGCUGCUGCUGCUGAUAGACAGUCAUCUCCACUCAGGCAUUUGAAUGAAAUACAUCUGACAGCAAAUAAGUAUAAUAUGAAAUUGGAAAAGACAGGACAUUAUACUUUAAUUUUGCUGUAUUUAGUAAGAGCUUUUGAAAUAUAUAUUUGUAUUAUCUAAAUAUAUAACUGUUACAUUACUAGCAGUAUAUAAUGACAUGACAUUAACAUAUUGACAUUAGUAUUUGUUACUUAGUGUUAGUUUAGUUUUAUUGAACAAUUUGGCUAGGCAUAACUUAAUGGUGGGAAAUAAAAUAAGCAGCAAAUUUUUCAUUAAUAAUAAAAUAUGUUUUAGAAUUAAUUUGUGCAUUUCUCAUUCAGGCCCCAUUUCAGAGACUUCUGGGUGGGGGGGAAAGCUGAGAUGCUCACCCUGGAUCCUAGGAAAACAUAUAAGGGAGCAGUUGUUACAGAAAAAGCAUCUUGAUAAAAACAGGCUCAAACAUGCAUGAGAUGUGCUGGGGGCACUUCACUGAGGGAUAAACCAAAUACUGGGUGCCCAUAACAAGAGAGUAAGGAACUUCUACUCCACUCCAAUAGAAGGAAUUAUAUUGAAUUAUCAUAUACAGUUCUCCUCUUACUCCUCUUCAUCAAUAGAGGAGGGCAUAAUGUAGGUGAGUGCUCAUUACCUGCCUGUGGGGCCAGUGUAUGCAAGGUCUCUGCACAGGCCUGACCCAGCCUUUGUCUCUCUCUCCUUCUUUAAGGCUGCCCGCUCAUGAAGUGUGUGUCCUCUGCAUCUGUCCCUCUUUCAUGUAUUAAAAAGUUUCAGGCAGAGAUUACCCACUCUAUGGAGAACUCCUACAACUUCUUGGUUUAUCAAAUUAUGACUGAGCAGGUAGAUUGUAUUACUUUUUCAAGUAGAACUGCCCAUUCAUUUCAGAAGCAAAUAAAUAUUUGUGACCAAAAGAGAUUGGAGUAAACUACAUCACUAUGAACAUAUUCACUACUCUUACCAACUGUAAGAUAUAUAGUGGGUAAUGACUUCUGAGUACUUCUGAGCAGAAGCUUUAAGAGCCAUCAUGGAGUGAUUCAUCUUUUGUUUUUCUAAAAUAAGCCUGAGAAUUCUCCUACUCCUCAGCCUGGAUUGUGGAGUAAAAGAUAGAAACCAGAGUCACAGAAACCCAUAGCCAACCCAAAGUUGUCUUGUAAUGUCAGCUUUGAUUGUGCUAAGCCAUUAAAAUUUGGGGUGUGCUUGUUAUUACAGCAUAGCCUAGAGAAAGGUGACUAAUACAGCAACUGGUAAAUAUAAUCAGAGCACUGCAGUAAAAAUUCUAAAAUGUGUGGCAUCGAUUCUGGGACUAGACAGUGGACAGUCAAGCAGCUAUUGUUAG